AUGCCGGACGCUGCUCGCCCACGCCCAACUCACCUGCUCCAAGGGCGGCGGAGGAGAGAAGCGUCUGGCACAGGCCAGGAAGAUGUCAGGGGCUGGCUUCCCACUCUUCACCUCGGGAUCGUCCCCCAGCACGAUGUGGCUGAACAAGCUGAAGAAUUCCUUGUGUCGGCCGGUCUUCAUCUCGAAGGGUGCACGCCCCAAGCUGGUGGACAUGGCAAAGGGGACGUCGUGCUUCCGCAAGUGGUGGAUGAGCUUCUCCACACCUGGGGAGGGUCACUGGUUCUGGCCCAGGAAGUCCCUGGGUUCAAAAGGAGAUGGUGGAGCUUUUCAAGGGAUCCGGGCCAGAUCUCCCGUCCUGCCCCCCAGGGUCACGGAUACUUGCUGGGUGCAGGUCCCCAUUCAGCUACAGACUGGACCCUGGAGCGGGGUGUCUCUGCUUCCAAAGCGAGGAUCCCAGAGUUGUCUGUGAGGCUGACAGAGGCAGCAGCGAGGGAGGAUCCAGCCAAGCUGCACUGUGACAAGGAACAGCAGGGCAGAGGACCUGGCAUUCUGUCCCAUCAGAAGGAACAGCAGAGCCUCCUGGGUUCUGCCCCAUUCGAGAAAGCCCUCGAAAUGCAAAGCAAUUUUGCAUGGGACUUUGUCCACACUGUCUUCCUUAGGAUUUCAGGAGGCUGAGCCUUUCGAAACACUAACAGUUUGGGGAAAUAAAGUAUGAUUCUUUCUAGGGCUUCCCUGAUUUUCG
rnacentral:lncRNA from 1 species